rnacentral:ncRNA from 29 species
AUAGAGGGUAAUUAAAAUAAUUUUAACGGGAAUNNNNNNGUGGAAAGAGGUGGAAAUCCUCUACUAUUCGGUAACUGUAAGAGAAACGAAAGCCGGGUUAUCCACUGCCCCGCGUUAUUCCGGGGCGGGAAGGAAGGCAAGUAGGAUGAGUCUUAAGUCAGGAAACCUCUUAUUCCCAAAACUUCCGAG